UCUUGCAUUACUCUUCUCUCUAAAUCGGUUUCAUCGCAUACCUUCACCUCUCUAAUCAAACUUUGCUUGAACUCAUUCAAUGGAUCCUUUUCACCUUCCUCUCCCUUUGUCUAUUUAUAAAUCUCUUCUCUUAGCUUGUGUCUCGAUUAAAAUUGAAAAGCUUCUCUCAAACAAUCAUCCCGAUGGAACCCAAAGGAAACGCUUCAAUCUCCAGCGACCGCAAGACCAACAAGAAGACCGUCGUCUUCCUCUUUCACAUGCGGUGCUAAGCAGAAUAGAGUCCCGGUCUAGAUUGAGCCUCCUAAGCAGUGUCGCUAGAUUUCUACUCGAAGCUGUGAACGCCUGAAUCAAAUCAGAGUAAUAAUUUCACAAAUUCUCGGGGAGAACACUGAUCGGAGUGAUGGGGAGACUUGGCUUGGGUUACCAUACGAUCCAUCAAAGAAAGAGGAAGAAGCACCCUAGCUGAAAGAAGAAGGUUCAGAUCUAGAGACAUAAGGUUUGAAUUUGGAGGAAGAUGUUUUAAAAAUGUAUUUAUGUUACCUAUCACACUUCUGAAUCUAGAUUUUGCCAUGGAAUAGCAUUGGUGCCAAGUUAGCUUUGUUAGGUCUUCGAACCAGCGCCUUGGUUCUGUUAACAAUUGAACAAGCGAUUAAGAUUGGGUUCAGACACAUUGACGAUCACGAGAAAGAGGUAAAACAUUACUCAUAUCACCAAAUUUAAGAGACCAUAUGAUGUUAAGUCUUUGUGGUUGACAUGUCCUGCCUCUUGCAUGUUACGUUCUCCUCAUGCUAUGAUUCAGUUUACUAGAUUGGUAGUGUAUUGAAUAAAUUAAUAGAUUGUGGUUUCGUGAA